rnacentral:lncRNA from 1 species
AUGGAGGAGGAGGCAGACAAUAGCGAGGGAGAGACAAGGCCCAAGGGAAAAGAAACGAAGGAGCCUGAGAGAGAUGUGUACAGCUUCCCUGGAGACUCAGACCCCGAGAGUCCCCCUCCUGCCCCCUGGGCCCAUUGCACAUUCAUUCAGCGGUGCAGAAAGAAGAGGGUGCUGCUCAGGCCCUUCUCUGGACUUGGCACCUUAAAGCGCACAUCGCCUGAGACUGGCAAGCGGUCAAGAGCGAGUCCUCAAAAAUCUAAACCUGCUGAGCCUGCACAGCUGAAUCGGGGUGGAGGGGUUUACGAUUUUGAAGAAGUUGACUUUGGAGAGGGAGCGGUGGAAGAACCGAUCAAGAUCAGAGACAGAGGAGGGAAAAUAGACAAAGAGGAAGAAAGCGAGGUAGCGCCAGAUAAAGAAAUCUUCACCUGUGUGGAAUGUAGCAUUUACUUCAAAAAGCAGGUCCACUUGCAGGAGCACAUAGUCGAGCACUGUCAGAGUGGCGCGGGGGGCGGCAGGCGGUUAGGGAAAGGCGGCCGUUUUCGGUGUGUUGAGUGUGGAUGGAACCUGCCAAAUCGGCUUGCGCUGGCAGAUCACCACAGACGCCACCAGGAGUCCCGUCUAAAGAUCUUGGAGGAGAUUGAAAAACUGAAUGAAAAUGGGAAGGCAAGAGAGAUUCAGAAACUUGACAGCGAGGUGAAGAAGCAUUUAAGCCCCGACCCGACUAUUGUGCAAGAUGCAGCCUCGAAUCCAGGCAAAGAGUCAGACCCAGAAAUAGUCUCAUCUCCACCUCAUUCCCCAGCUACAAUUUCAACACCAGACACAGACGCAGCAGUUCUCAACUCUGACGUGACUCCACCAAAUUCAGUUCGAUCUCCAGCUCAGGGCCGAGCCGUUUCUGCGUACCGCCGCCGCUUUCUCUGCACCAAGUGUAACUUCAGCACAAGAACCCCCCAGGCACUGGCUAAUCACACCAAGACCCACAACAGGAAGAAACCUGCUCUCCAGGCCGACUCCCCAUCUCCUGGUUCACCAUCAUGUUUGGCAUCAACUUCCCUGGCCUGUGGACACUGUGCCUUCCUGACCUCAAGUCAAACUGUAAUGAGGGAACACCAGAAACUUGCUCACCCUGGACAGGCCCCAGUCAGUGGGGCGCAGGCUGAUGAGGCUGGCCAGCACUCGAGGUCCAGUGUUGGUACUCGAAUUUCAAAACCCACCCUGGAUUCUGAUCAUCUCUCCGGGUCUGGAUCUGGAUCCCUGCCCGACGCAACUCAAGGCAAAAGCCAGCAAGGAGUCACUGCCCCUGAGGACAGCACAACACCAGACAGCGCUGCAGCUCGGCCCACAGGACCGACGGUCUUCAAGUGUGCUGGGAACAGGAGAUUCAGCAGAAGGGGGAAGACUUGGACCGAUCUGGCCAAGUUUCAGCCCAGACUGGACGACGACAAGCUGCUUGGGAGUGAGGAAGACGAGCAGGAUGAAGAUCGGAGCGCAGAGCUGGACACCGAGGGUUCCGAGCCAAAGGCCGACUCACCUGUUGGAGUGAAACCGCACACGAGAGCACGAUCAAACACAGGUGAGACUCGACAUCGUGAUCCACGCGGUAACAUGAAUAUUCUUAGCAACCAGAUUAUUGUGAGUAAUCAAUUCAGAGUGUUUUGA